CCCUUCUCCUAUGUGAUUCUAGAACCCGUCAAAUUGACAGUUGAGAUUAACUGUCACACAUUAGUACUAGGUACCAACCUUACUUCAUGCUUGUGUAGCAAGUGCUCUACCCGAUGAACCACCAACCAGUUCAGUCCUCAGUCUUCUGACAGAAAACUUGGAGUGUACAUUUGCACGGUACCCCUUUGCCACCAUCGGUUUUGUUGUGGCCACAAGAGACUGCUCUAGGAAGGUUACACCCGCCUCAGAUUGCAGCUGCAAUAUCCGCUGCCUGACUUGCCACAACGGAGAAACCUCAGCCGCAGGGCUUCUGCUGUACCUUCACCACCAUGUUGAACAGAAAUCCUUUUGAAAUCAUACAGCCCUUUCUUACAUUGUUUCACACGAGUGUUUUACCACAGUGGAUAAAAAAAUAACUACUACAAGGAGUUUGGGUUAUUUAAGUGAAACUUACCAGCUCGGCGUGCACUGCAGAAAGGAGGGAAGUUAACAUGGAGCUGCCUGUCUGACUGACCUCUGUGCUUCCUCACUUCGACAUGCCCCCACAUUCCUGCCAGGUGCUGGCCCUGCCACCAGCUGCUGUCUCUUGCUGACUGGGCAUGAGAAAUCACACAAGCUGUCGCCUGCUCUCCAGUAGCACCCUGUGAAAGCCCUGGGUCAUUAUUGUGGCUAUCUGUGAUUUUUUUCUUCUGUCACCACACUUCCUUCUUUCUCUGGGGACUAUCAUUCCCAAGAUUCUGCCCUACAUUCUUCCCAAGAGUUGCCCCAUCUCAAAUGACUCCUUAACUUGGUAUGAUCUAGGCUACCCUAACCCAGGAGUCUCUGGCCAGUUCUGACCCCUGGAGGCUGCCCAGCUUCUUAUUGUAUAGAGGAAGUAGUUUGUGGCAGGAGAAAGAACCUGGGUCUUUCUCAGUGAAGCCAUGGGGAUCUGAAUGAUGGCAGUGAGCCUUAGGUGAUCCUAGAUCAGUAAAUCCUAAAGCCAAGUUGUUCCUAUUCCCUGGGUUCCCUCCAGGAUCCAUUGAUGAGUUGAAGACUGGCCACUGAGGCUAGAGGAUCAAUGAUAGCAAUCCCUCUGCUCUCACCCCUGUUCCAAGAACUUUCAUGCAUAAGUCAAUGGCAUCUAAUACAUCCCUGUCUCUGACAUGCUUCUUAUGUGAACAUGAUAAGAACAUGACAUAGAAAACCACAGGGUUCAUGUUCUGGGAAGGGGCUAAAACAUCUCAUCACCAAUAGAUAUUCUGUGUAUCUUGGCUGUCAACUUCUUAGAGUUUAGACAGAGGUUUAUUCAGAUAAGAUGAAAGCCAGUUUUGCUUUUUGUUGUAGCAAAGGCAAAGGCUGUACCUGAGAUGAUCAAGGUAAGCUUAGCAUGAGAACAUAAGGUUCCCAUCUUGGGAAAAGUGGCUCCUACUUCCUGGGAACUGUCUACUGCUGCAGUUCUGCUUAGAGCACUAGGACUUGUCAGGUAGCCUGCAUUUUGAAAUGCAUUUGCUCAUCCUUGAUGGAAGGCUCCCUAGCUAUCUCCAGCUGUCAACAGAAGGAAAGAAUUUCCAUUGUCCUUCUCUGGGUAUUUCUGAGAUAGAUAUACAGCUCACCUGCCUUAGAGCUUUUCUUUUAAAUUCAGAUUAAAAUUAUCCUGGAGCUCUUGUCAGAGUCCAUUCUUAAUUCUUUUAUUAAUGAGACUAAGAACCCCAACAAGGAAGCCAGAUUUCUUUGGUAACAGUUGUACCACCAGGACUGCCAAGAUGCCCAAGUUUCAGGCAUCAUAAGCACGCUCUACAAAUGCCCACCAGAGUUUCAUGACCUUGCUGUUACUUGAGUCUUUAAAAGCUGAUGAAGCUUAAAGAAGCCAUUCACCAAGCGCAACUGAAAUAGCUCAGUUGGGAGAGCAUCAGACUGAAGAAGCCAUUCACCAGCUCUCCAUCUAGUUUCAUUAUUAACGGUGGGACUGAGGUUCCAUGGGAUAUUUCUGUAAAGGCUACUUCCUCUGUUCAGGAAGUCCGGCUCUCAUCUAUCCACCCAGACUCUAUCACAGUUGGCUUGACUCUACUUCCCUUCACCUCUGUGGCUGGGUUAUAUAGGGGCCACUCACCACCAGCAUAUUCUAUUCAGUAGCCUCACACCUCCACCAUGACUGGUUUAUUCAAACAAGACCAGCCCACCCACCACUAUUACUGUCUUUAGUUUAAAUGAACUUAUGCAACUGCAAGACCUAGUUAAUCUAAUUAGGCUCCACCCUCUCCUAGAUAUCUCUGCAAGAGACUAGAUACCCCAAAACUAGAUGUGGUUCAGAUACGAAGAAGAAAGCUCUUGGAGAUUUUGAAGUGGGAACAAAGGAGUCCACUUCAAAGCCUCACGUUGCUGGAUGCUUUGGGGCUUAGAUUAAUCCUCUCUCUCAAUCCCUUCAUCUGUGGAAAGAGUGUGCUGUGUACCUCACAGGCUGUGGUUGGGGAUCAGUGAGCACAUGGAAUGCAUAACCACAUCACACCAGGUGGUGUUUAGAAUUUCUCUCACAGGAGCAAAAUCAGAUGUUCCUGUGUGCAGCAGUUUUUCAGCUUCAGAUUAAUCUGGGAUGAUUGAAAUGCAGAUUCGGCGUCUCACUCCCAGAAAGUCUGACAAAAUAGUUCUUUAUUUAUCUCUUUGACUGUGAGAUUCUCACAGUUAACACAGCCACACCACAUUGCAAGUUGCCUCCAAAUGGGACCCAUGAGGAAGCGGUUAGUGUCUUGACCACUUGCAAGGAAAAAAAAGCAGUCAAGAACAGCCACAUUCCUUGCAGAGCAAGUGUCAGAAUGAGACAUUUUACAAGUCACUUCAUGUAUCCAGUGUUAGAAGAGGCCAGGGGAGUUGGCGACUGCAGAUGUUGAAAUUGUGGCAGCGUUUUCCAAUGCUGGUGUGCAGCAGCCGCAAGUGGCUAACAGUACUAUUUUCAGUUCUGUCUCUUCUGGCUCUGAUUUUAAGAACAGAUAGAAAAUAAAUUUGCUGAGACAUUGUAAAGCCGUCUUUGUUGUAAAAUCCUUGGAUUUGGAGAAUCUCCAUCUAGACUGAUGACUUCAUGCCCCUUGAAGACCUCAUAAAAUGAAGAUGUUGAUCUUCACUUUUAAGCACCA